UGGAAUUUUCCGCAAUGCACGAAAGUGUGACGGAGCGACGCCGCGUGUGUGAUGAAGGCUUUCGGGUCGUAAAGCACUGUUGUAAGGGAAGAAUAACUGAAUUCAGAGAAAGUUUUCAGCUUGACGGUACCUUACCAGAAAGGGAUGGCUAAAUACGUGCCAGCAGCCGCGGUAAUACGUAUGUCCCGAGCGUUAUCCGGAUUUAUUGGGCGUAAAGCGAGCGCAGACGGUUUAUUAAGUCUGAUGUGAAAUCCCGAGGCCCAACCUCGGAACUGCAUUGGAAACUGAUUUACUUGAGUGCGAUAGAGGCAAGUGGAACUCCAUGUGUAGCGGUGAAAUGCGGAGAUAUGUAGGAGAUCGCCAGUGGCGAAAGCGGCUUGCUGGAUCGUAACUGACGUUGAGGCUCGAAAGUAUGGGUAGCAAACGGGAUUAGAUACCCCGGAGUCCAUACCGUAAACGAUGGGUGCUAGUUGUUAAGAGGUUUCCGC
rnacentral:rRNA from 1 species